rnacentral:rRNA from 1 species
UAGGGGAUCUUCGGCAAUGGACGGAAGUCUGACCGAGCAACGCCGCGUGAGUGAAGAAGGUUUUCGGAUCGUAAAGCUCUGUUGUAAGAGAAGAACGAGUGUGAGAGUGGAAAGUUCACACUGUGACGGUAUCUUACCAGAAAGGGACGGCUAACUACGUGCCAGCAGCCGCGGUAAUACGUAGGUCCCGAGCGUUGUCCGGAUUUAUUGGGCGUAAAGCGAGCGCAGGCGGUUAGAUAAGUCUGAAGUUAAAGGCUGUGGCUUAACCAUAGUAGGCUUUGGAAACUGUUUAACUUGAGUGCAAGAGGGGAGAGUGGAAUUCCAUGUGUAGCGGUGAAAUGCGUAGAUAUAUGGAGGAACACCGGUGGCGAAAGCGGCUCUCUGGCUUGUAACUGACGCUGAGGCUCGAAAGCGUGGGGAGCAAACAGGAUUAGAUACCCUGGUAGCCCACGCUGUAAACGAUGAGUGCUAGGUGUUAGACCCUUUCCGGGGUUUAGUGCCGUAGCUAACGCAUUAAGCACUCCGCCUGGGGAGUACGACCGCAAGGUUG